CCUACGGGCGGCUUCAGUGAGGAAUAUUGGUCAAUGGGCGGAAGCCUGAACCAGCCAAGUAGCGUGCGGGAUGAAGGCCCUACUGGUCGUAAACCGCUUUUGCACGGGGAUAACACCCUCCACUUGUGGAGGUCUGCAGGUACCGUGCGAAUAAGGGCCGGCUAAUUCCGUGCCAGCAGCCGCGGUAAUACGGAAGGCCCGAGCGUUAUCCGGAUGCAUUGGGCGUAAAGGGAGCGUAGGCGGGCGUUCAAGUCCGCUGUAAAAUCGCGCGGCUCAACCGCGCCCCGCAGUUGAAACUGGACGCCUUGAGUUCACAACAGGCAGGCGGAAGUCGUGGUGUAGCGGUGAGAUGCAUAGAUAUCACGAGGAACCCCGAUUGCGAAGGCAGCCUGCCGGGGUGCGACUGACGCUGAGGCUCGAAGGUGCGGGUAUCAAACAGGAUUAGAGACCCCGGUAGUC
rnacentral:rRNA from 1 species